AACUUUCAGUAAUGGAUCACUUGGCUCUCGCAUCGAUGAAGAACACAGCGAAAUGUGAUAAGUAAUGUGAAUUGCAGAAUUCAGUGAAUCAUCGAAUCUUUGAACGCAUCUUGCGCUCCUUGGUAUUCCGAGGAGCAUGCCUGUUUGAGUGUCAUUUAAAAUUCUCAAACCCACUUGACGUGGCUUUGGAUGUGGGGGCUUUUGUUUGCAGGCUUUUCUUCUCAAGUCUGCUCCCCUGAAAUGCAUUAGUGGUGUCUGGAGUGGAAACCGCUAGGUGUGAUAAUUAUCGUCUACGCCUUUGGGUAUGCGACAUGAAACAGAUUGUGCUGCUUCCGACACAACCUUUAUGACAAACUUGACCUCAAAUCAGGUAGGACUACCCGCUGAACUUAAGCAUAUCAAUAAGCGGAGGCU
rnacentral:misc_RNA from 1 species